rnacentral:rRNA from 1 species
ACGCUCGACACCUACGGGAGGCAGCGGUGGGGAAUAUUGCACAAUGGGGGAAACCCGUGAUGCAGCGACGCCGCGUGGAGGAAGAAGGUCUUCGGAUUGUAAACUCCUGUUGUUGGGGAAAAAGAGGAUGGUACCCAACAAGGAAGUGACGGCUAACUACGUGCCACAGCCGCGGUAAUCUGAGCGGGCUGGCAAGGC